GCUCCGGUAGCUCAACUUGGAUAGAGCAGUGCCCUCCUAAGGCAAAGAUUCUGGGUUCAAAUCCCAGCCGGAGCA
rnacentral:tRNA from 1 species